rnacentral:lncRNA from 1 species
GCGCUCAGCGGCGGCGCUGUGCCUGCUGAAUCAACGGAACCGAGCCGCCGCCUGCUGUUUGCUGCUGCUGCUGCUGCUGCUGUCACCACAUCGUCCGCCCGGGCGGGUCUGUCAGCGCGCUUGAGUCGGUCUCCCUCAAACCCGUGCAAACCCCGUCACGGCCAAGACGCGGAGGACAAAACGGGGCGGGGCGGCAGCGGCGGAGAAUAAGAAGGGGCGGCUUUGACAGCUGCAGGACGGCCGGGCAGCUGCCGUGAUUGCUCCCAGGAGGGCCGUCGGGAGCCGUCCGGUCGUCUCGGAGCGGCUCCUCUUUUGGCGGGAACGUGCGAGGGGAUGCGCGGGACGGCGCCUUGGCAGGCGAUGGGGCGGGGAGGAAGAGCCGAGGCGCUCUUCGCCUCCCGGCCCCGCCCGGCAGGAACGCGAGGGACCUCUCCGAGCAAGUGGGGAGUCCGGCGAGCCAGAACGCCUCUCCAGAUUGCUGAGUAAAGAUGCGCUGUGCUGCAGAUCCUCCACCACCACCCCUUGUUUAUUCAGUCCCGGAUGUUGUGCUGCAGAAAACAGAGUCACAAGGCCCAGGUCUGAUUUCUCCCCAAUGUCAUUUGCUGCUCCUUUGCCGCUGAUUAGCUACAGCAAUAAUGUAAUUUAAUAGCACCUUAUAUUAAUGUCCACUGAUUAAUUUUUUUUCCUUCUGACUUUGCAAAAAGAGACACAGCAGUUUCUUGUAAUUGCAAUUAAUGUACUCUUUCUUCUAACACUGAGGCACUUACGGAGAAGAACAAAAGAAAUGGAACUCCAAAAUCUAAGGCAAAAGAUCCAGGCUUUCUUUGCGAAUAGUAUGACCUUUGGAAAUAAUCAUUUUGCAUUCAUUGAUACACCUUGUAAGAUAAAGCUUUUAUAAUUUUAUAUCUGUAUGAUUGUGGAAAUCCACCAUGAGUCAAAUGCAAGUCAUCACUAAAUGCCGAUACUACAUUAGCCUAUACUUUGCUAAAGCCUAACUUUUACACAGAUAAAAUAGGCCUAUGCUGUGCCAGUGUCACUCUUCAAUAGAUGCUAACAAUUGCCUUUUAUUCAAUUCUCUAAAUCACCCUAUUGUACGAAGUUUAUCCACUGCAGUUUUCAUCUGCAGAAUACCCAGUUGGGAUGCUGAGUGACAAAAUGGAUGCAGGAAAAUACUAUGCAAUACUACACACGUUGGCUCAUUUAUGCUACAAUUGUGUCAGUAUCUAUUGUCAAGCUAAGAGGACACAUGGUAUCAAUGUGACAGUGCUGUCACAGAGAAGGUUUUGCUGAACGAAAUGACUGGCACUGCUAAGCAAAUUGCUCAUUUAAAUCCAUUUCAAUUUGGCACACUUCUGAGGGAAUUAAAAUGGUCCAACUAGUUGGAAGGGAAACAAAUACAUGUAUUCUAAAAAAGCAAUGUUGAUAGUGUCACUGAGGAUGUGAGUGCAAGUUGCAAUUGACUAUGGAGGGAUGUAAGGAACAAGUUUCUGCUAAGGAUCUCUGUUGGGAUUAGUAAUUUUUCAUUUUUUCAGAAUUAUAGCUGAGCAGGGAAGUGGCCACACGUGGUGACAAAAAGAGAUUGCAAAGAGCAACAAGAGGAUCUCUCCAAAUGUGUAUAUGCCGUAUGGUAUUGUACCACUUUGAUU